UCUCUCUCUCUCUCUCUCUCUCGCUUUAGCUAAAGAAGGAGAAGAACAUCAAGACCUGCUCAUCAUCUGAGCUUAGGCCUCGUUUGGAAUGACAGCUACACUAACAGACUCUUAAAUCUCUAUCCAACAUCGGAGCAUUUGGAGGCCAGAUCCAGAUUCAGUUGUUGCACUUUAUAACCGUCACCACAGACUGAUAAUGAGUGUGUGCCUAUAUUUGUCUAAAGGGCAUGUCUGAAAGGUGUGCGCAUGUAAUGUGCUGACGUGUUUUAUUGAACCUCAGAUGCUCCUCGAAGAAGCAUAGAGCUUUUGGUAACAAACAUAUACUUGAAGGUUGUCAGAGAUGACCGAAGACUUUUAACUCUGAAGUGUUAUGGAGAAUCCGUUCUCAGGCUUUGAGCUGUUCUUCAUCAUCUCAGCCUUCUCUGUGUUCUGUCUGUUCGGCCUGGCUGCUGUUUGUUCACGCAGCCGGCACCCAGGCAACCAAGGUGAAAUUACUUUGAUAGAACUGAACUCAACCUAUCAUAAGAGCCGACUAAAAAGAAAAGAGGAAUUCCAACCAUCAAGAAAAUAAACUUGGAGCUUACACGAGUACUCAAGCAGAGAAAAAGCAUCAAGACAUGCUAUUUUAUACAUUACCUUCCAGACACUCAACACUCCUCAGAAUUUAUGGACCUAAUGGACCGAAUCUUCAUGAAGAGAUAAGAUUUCUCGAACCUUGGAGAAUUUUUUAAACAUCACUGCUGGGUUAUGAACAAUGAACCAACCAAAAAUAUUGACUUAACAACAUCCUGCUGUCAGAAACUGACCACUGAUUAAGGGCUGGAAGAUGAUUAACAUGAUUAAUUAGUGAUUAAGAUACACCUGGGGUGGCACGGUGGCGUAGUGGUUAGCAUUGUCGCCUCACAGCAAGAAGGUCCUGGGUUUGAGCCCAGUGGCCAGCGAGGGCCUUCUUGUGUGGAGUUUGGAUGUUCUCCCCGUGUCUGUGUGGGUUUCCUCCGGGUGCUCCGGUUUCCCCCACAGUCCAAAGACAUGCAGGUUAGGCUAAUUGGUGGCUCUAAAUUGACCGUAGGUGUAAAUGUGAGUGUGAAUGGUUGUUUGUCUCUGUGUCAACCCUGCAAUAACCUGGCAACUUGUCCAGGGUGUACCCCGCCUCUCGCUCAUAGUCAGCUGGGAUAGGCUCCAGCUUGCCUGCAACCCUGUAGAACAGGAUAAGCGGCUACAAAUAAUGGAUGGAUGGAUGGAUGGAUGGAUGGAUGGAUGGAUACACCUGUAGCACCAGCAAAGUAGGUUUGGCUAAUAAAGUGGAUAAUAAGUGGACACAAUGUACACUGCUGUGCUGAGAACAGCCCAUCACCCAAAUAACCUCAGGGCAAUGGUGGUCCCAUGGUGGUGGCCUUUUCUCACAGAUGGGUCAUACUGUGUGUGUAUUUUUUUUUCCAAGAGAACCUGGAUGAAAUUGUGCAGCUGGUGGAACAAUCAAUUGCUUAUUCAAAAAAAAAAAAAAAAGGACCUGGUGUUGUACAGAAAAGCUUGUGAAACCAAUUGUAUAAAGGCGGAAGGUAGAAGUGAAUAAAAUGGAAGAAGAAGUA